rfam:Schistosoma mansoni strain Puerto Rico chromosome 5, complete genome
AGAAUUCUGAAUCCGUGUCAAGAUUUUGUCAAACACUAGACCAUCAGGACUGAUGAGACUGUCAAGAUAAGUGACGCA